rnacentral:rRNA from 1 species
AUCAACUUUCGAUGGUAGGAUAGAGGCCUACCAUGGUGGUAACGGGUAACGGGGUGUUAGGGCACGACACCGGAGAGGGAGCCUGAGAAACGGCUACCACAUCCAAGGAUGGCAGCAGGCGCGCAAAUUACCUAAUCCCGACACGGGGAGGUAGUGACAAUAAAUAACAAUACGGGGUUCUUUAGGAUUUCGUAAUUGGAAUGAGUACAAUUUAAAUCUCUUAACGAGGAACAAUUGGAGGGCAAGUCUGGUGCCAGCAGCCGCGGUAAUUCCAGCUCCAAUAGCGUAUAUUAAAGUUGUUGCAGUUAAAAAGCUCGUAGUUGAAUUUCGGGAUCAAAUUGUCGGUCGUGCCUCGGUACGUACUGGUAUUAUUGGUUCCUCCCUUCUGACGAACCACGAUGUCAUUAAUUUGGUGUCAUGGGAAAUCAGGACUGUUACUUUGAAAAAAUUAGAGUGUUUAAAGCAGGCUCGCGCUUGAAUACAUUAGCAUGGAAUAAUGAAAUAGGACGUUUGAUUCUAUUUUGUUGGUUUCUAGGAUCGACGUAAUGAUUAAUAGGGAUAGUUGGGGGCAUUAGUAUUCAAUUGUCAGAGGUGAAAUUCUUGGAUUUAUUGAAGACUAACUACUGCGAAAGCAUUUGCCAAGGAUGUUUUCAUUAAUCAAGAACGAAAGUUAGGGGAUCGAAGACGAUCAGAUACCGUCGUAGUCUUAACCAUAAACUAUGCCGACUAGGGAUCGGAUGAUGUUAAUUUUUUAAUGACUCAUUCGGCGCCUUACGGGAAACCAAAGUGUUUGGGUUC